AACGCCCCUUCGGGGGAGUGGCAGACGGGUGAGUAACACGUGGGAAUCUACCCAGUACUACGGAAUAACUCAGGGAAACUUGAGCUAAUACCGUAUACGCCCUACGGGGGAAAGAUUUAUCGGUAUUGGAUGAGCCCGCGUCUGAUUAGCUAGUUGGUGAGGUAAUGGCUCACCAAGGCGACGAUCAGUAGCUGGUCUGAGAGGAUGAUCAGCCACACUGGGACUGAGACACGGCCCAGACUCCUACGGGAGGCAGCAGUGGGGAAUAUUGGACAAUGGGCGCAAGCCUGAUCCAGCCAUGCCGCGUGAGUGAUGACGGCCCUAGGGUUGUAAAGCUCUUUCAACGGUGAAGAUAAUGACGGUAACCGUAGAAGAAGCCCCGGCUAACUUCGUGCCAGCAGCCGCGGUAAUACGAAGGGGGCUAGCGUUGUUCGGAAUAACUGGGCGUAAAGCGCACGUAGGCGGACUAUUAAGUCAGGGGUGAAAUCCCGGGGCUCAACCCCGGAACUGCCUUUGAUACUGGUAGUCUAGAGUUCGAGAGAGGUGAGUGGAAUUCCGAGUGUAGAGGUGAAAUUCGUAGAUAUUCGGAGGAACACCAGUGGCGAAGGCGGCUCACUGGCUCGAUACUGACGCUGAGGUGCGAAAGCGUGGGGAGCAAACA
rnacentral:rRNA from 1 species